rnacentral:rRNA from 1 species
UACGGAGGGUGCAAGCGUUGUCCGGAAUUAUUGGGCGUAAAGAGCUCGUAGGCGGUUUGUCGCGUCUGCUGUGAAAACUCAGGGCUUAACCCUGAGCCUGCAGUGGGUACGGGCAGACUAGAGUGUGGUAGGGGAGAUCGGAAUUCCUGGUGUAGCGGUGGAAUGCGCAGAUAUCAGGAGGAACACCGGUGGCGAAGGCGGAUCUCUGGGCCAUAACUGACGCUGAGGAGCGAAAGCAUGGGGAGCGAACAGG